AUGAUGGGCGGCGGCGGCACCCGCGGGCGGCGGAGGUGGACGCAGCGGUCGUGCCGGGCGGGAGGAGCGGGCGGGGUCGUCACGCGGACGGUGGCGGCGCCGGAGGAUCGCGGCGCGAGCGCGGCUACGCGGCGGAGCGCUGCAGGGUUUGCUCAUGUGGACAAGCAGCAGCGUCUCUACGGACUAUCAUCACAAGAUUCCACAAGUAGCAGUAGAUCUACAAUAAUAGAAGAUUUUCUUCAUUCGGAUUUAUGUGAAUAUAAGCGUAAGAGGUCCAGCGGCAAUGCUACAAAAUGCCUUCCUAACCACCAUUCUCUGUCAUCCAUGAUGUCAGAAUCAAGGAAUCAUAGUGCAGCAACUGAAAUGCCGGCAGCUUCUGAAAAACCUUCCUUUUCAUGGCCAACAGAGAAGCAAGUCCCCGACAAUAAAAAACUUUUUCCUGCCACCAGUACUGUGUCGGAUAAUGGGUCGCCCUACCGUCCUAAAUUUCAUCUUGACAGAGGUAGGAACAAUGCAAAGCAGACUCCAACACCCAAAGAAUCCAGUGGCAUGUGCAGUUUCAGUUAUCAAUUAGCUAGAGGUGCUGGAAGAUCUGAUUCUAUGAAGAUGGGCCCUACAAGUGCAAAGUGCUCCCUUGCAGAGACAAUGUCGAUGUUACGUCAACGGCGGUUUGGUCGCAGUUACCAGAAUCAAAACCGCAUCGGUGCAUUAAAUCGGAGGCAUAAGAACACACAAUCUGGAGGAGCAAUCAACAUGGUAAAGAAAGAGGAGACUUAUAAUCAGUCUGAUUUGUCAACAGGAAGACACUGGCAAACUUUGUUGGAUAAUGCAUUAGUUCGAGGGAGGUUACAGCCACUCAAUGAGGAAUCACCUGAACAACUGUGGAGCUGUACAAACAGUGAAUCUGAUAAGGCGAUAUGCUUUUCCUCCGGUGGCAGCAUUGAUGGUUUGCAAGUAUCUUUUUCAAGUGACACUAGUGACACAAGUGAUAACUCCAAUUUAUCUUCUCUGGGUACAGUGUCAAAUGAUCAGUGGAGGAUGUCCUUCAAGAAGGUACACUGUCCACUUGCUGCACGGAUAAAUUAUAUCCCCCGAGCUUCCUGCAAGGAGAUUGAGCAGGCAAGCCCUGUAUCUGUUCUUGAAUAUCCAGCUGGGGAUUUUUCUGAUGCUGAAAACAUCAAGCAGGAUACAACAGAUCCUGAUGCUCCCCAGCUAAGGCAUGAGCUUCCAUCAGAAGAAAAUAUUACCGAGGUAGCAGUGGAUGCUGCAAUUAAUAAUUACUUGUGCUCUGAGAUGGAGGCUACUGAAACUGAUGAAACCAUACAGCUGGUUGAAGACACCCCUUGUGAAUUUGAGGACGAAGAGGAAAGAGAGUUCUGCUACUUGCUGGACAUUCUAAUUGCUUCUGGUAUUCAUGGCGUUGAGGAGGAUCAGCUGUACAAGGUGUGCCAGUCCCUUGAUUGCCCUGCAGGCUAUGACGUGUUUGACAAGCUUGAGAAGAAAUACAAAAAAGUGGCUCAAUGGUCAAGGGCAGACAGGAAGCUCACCUUCGACAUGGUAAACUCCAUACUGUCGGAAAUUCUUGCCCCAUGUUUGGACAUGCACCCUUGGGCAACUACCGCGAGGAAUAUGGCGCCAGCGUGGGGCUCAGAGGGCCUGUUGGAGAAAUUGUUGCAGGUCUUGACUCGGCGGCGAGAAGAACUUGCGCCAAGAGUGCAUAAGAAGGAGAAACAAGUGUUAAAUCAGAAAUGGCCAGAUUUGGCAGAUUACAUCGAGAGGGCAGGUAGGGAUGUUGAGAGGAUGAUAAAGGAUGAUCUUCUGGAAGAGCUGGUUCUGGAGUUGAUGUCCAGCUAG
rnacentral:rRNA from 1 species